GCCUCCAUAGCACAGUGACAGUGCGUUCGCUUCGUAAGUGAAAGGUCGUGAGUUCAAUCCUCACUAGAGGCU
rfam:Ipomoea nil DNA, scaffold: scaffold2349, cultivar: Tokyo-kokei standard.